rnacentral:rRNA from 1 species
UACGGAGGGAGCUAGCGUUGUUCGGAAUUACUGGGCGUAAAGCGCACGUAGGUGGCUUUGUAAGUUAGAGGUGAAAGCCCGGAGCUCAACUCCGGAAUUGCCUUUAAGACUGCAUCGCUAGAAUUGUGGAGAGGUGAGUGGAAUUCCGAGUGUAGAGGUGAAAUUCGUAGAUAUUCGGAAGAACACCAGUGGCGAAGGCGACUCACUGGACACAUAUUGACGCUGAGGUGCGAAAGCGUGGGGAGCAAACAGG